rnacentral:rRNA from 1 species
UAGAUACCCUGGUAGUCCACGCAGUAAACGAUGAUAACUGGGCGUAUGCGAUAUACAGUAUGCUCCUAAGCGAAAGCGUUAAGUUAUCCACCUGGGGAGUACGCCGGCAACGGUGAAACUCAAAGGAAUUGACGGGGGCCCGCACAAGCGGAGGAACAUGUGGUUUAAUUCGAUGAUACGCGAGGAACCUUACCCGGGAUUGAAAUGUAGACGACGAGCGGUGAAAGUCGCUUUCCUUCGGGGCGUCUAU